UAGUGUUGUGAACUCGACGAGUAGGGCGGGACACGUGUUAUCCUGUCUGAAUAUGGGGGGACCAUCCUCCAAGGCUAAAUACUCCUGAUUGACCGAUAGUGAACCAGUACCGUGAGGGAAAGGCGAAAAGAACCCCGGCGAGGGGAGUGAAAUAGAACCUGAAACCGUGUACGUACAAGCAGUGGGAGCCUUGAUUUAUCAGGGUGACUGCGUACCUUUUGUAUAAUGGGUCAGCGACUUAUAUUCUGUAGCAAGGUUAACCGUAUAGGGGAGCCGUAGGGAAACCGAGUCUUAACUGGGCGAAUGAGUUGCAGGGUAUAGACCCGAAACCCGGUGAUCUAGCCAUGGGCAGGUUGAAGGUUGGGUAACACUAACUGGAGGACCGAACCGACUAAUGUUGAAAAAUUAGCGGAUGACUUGUGGCUGGGGGUGAAAGGCCAAUCAAACCGGGAGAUAGCUGGUUCUCCCCGAAAGCUAUUUAGGUAGCGCCUCGUGAACUCAUCUUCGGGGGUAGAGCACUGUUUCGACUAGGGGGUCAUCCCGACUUACCAACUCGAUGCAAACUACGAAUACCGAAGAAUGUUAUCACGGGAGACACACGGCGGGUGCUAACGUUCGUCGUGAAGAGGGAAACAACCCAGACCGCCAGCUAAGGUCCCAAAGUCAUAGUUAAGUGGGAAACGAAGUGGGAAGGCUCAGACAGCCAGGAUGUUGGCUUAGAAGCAGCCAUCAUUUAAAGAAAGCGUAAUAGCUCACUGGUCGAGUCGGCCUGCGCGGAAGAUGUAACGGGGCUAAACUAUGCACCGAAGCUGCGGCAGCGAUAUGUAAAUAUUGUUGGGUAGGGGAGCGUUCUGUAAGCCUGUGAAGGUGUACUGUGAGGUAUGCUGGAGGUAUCAGAAGUGCGAAUGCUGACAUAAGUAACGAUAAUGCGGGUGAAAAACCCGCACGCCGGAAGACCAAGGGUUCCUGUCCAACGUUAAUCGGGGCAGGGUGAGUCGACCCCUAAGGCGAGGCAGAAAUGCGUAGUCGAUGGGAAACGGGUUAAUAUUCCCGUACUGGUGAUAAUUGCGAUGGGGGGACGGAGAAGGCUAGGCUGGCCGGGCGACGGUUGUCCCGGUUUAAGGAUGUAGGCAGGUGAAUUAGGCAAAUCCGGUUCACUA
rnacentral:rRNA from 1 species